rnacentral:rRNA from 1 species
GAGAAUGCAGGCAUGAGUAGCGUGUGACGGGUGGGAAUCCCGUCCGCCGAUUAUCCAAGGGUUCCAGGGUCAAGUUUGUCUGCCCUGGGUGAGUCGGGUCCUAAGGCGAGGCCGACAGGCGUAGUCGAUGGUUAACGGGUUGAUAUUCCCGUACCCGUAUAUGUGCGUCCAUGGUGAAUCAGUGAUACUAACCAUCCACAAGUCUUCCGCUGCUGUCUUUGAUGGUGGUGGUUGGGGCGUGCGUGGAGCCUGAUCUGGUAGUAGCUAAGUGAUGGGGUGACGCAGUGGGGUAGCUGAGCCACUUAUUGGAUUGUGGUGCAAGCGUGUAGGGCGAUCGGUAGGUAAAUCCGCCGGUCAUGAUGCCUGAGGCGUGAUGCGUAGCCCCUUUUUGGGGUGAUGUUGGUGAUCCCGUGCUGUCGAGAAAAGCCUCUAGCGAGUGCAUAUAUGGCCCGUACCCUAAACCGACACAGGUAGUCAGGUAGAGAAUACUAAGGCGUUCGGGUGAACUGUGGUUAAGGAACUCGGCAAAAUGCCCCCGUAACUUCGGGAGAAGGGGGGCCAUUGCUGGUGAUACAUCUUGCAUGUUGAGCUGGUGGUGGUCGCAGAGAAUAGAGGGAAGCGACUGUUUAUUAAAAACACAGGUCCGUGCGAAAACGAUUAAGUUGAGGUAUACGGACUGACGCCUGCCCGGUGCUGGAAGGUUAAGAGGACCUGUUAGCUGUUAAAGGCGAAGCGGAGAAUUUAAGCCCCAGUAAACGGCGGUGGUAACUAUAACCAUCCUAAGGUAGCGAAAUUCCUUGUCGGGUAAGUUCCGACCUGCACGAAUGGCGUAACGACUUCCCAGCUGUCUCAACCGCGAACUCGGCGAAAUUGCACUACGAGUAAAGAUGCUCGUUACGCGCGGCAGGACGAAAAGACCCCGGGACCUUCACUAUAGCUUGGUAUUGGUGUUCGAUUCGGUUUGUGUAGGAUAGGUGGGAGACUGUGAUCACAUGGCGCUAGUUGUGUGUGAGUCGUUGUUGAAAUACCACUCUGAUCGGAUUGGAUACCUUCAACCUUGGCCCAUGAUCUGGGUCGGGGACAGUGCCUGGUGGGUAGUUUAACUGGGGCGGUUGCCUCCUAAAGAGUAACGGAGGCGCCCAAAGGUUCCCUCAGCUUGGUUGGUAAUCAGGUGUUGAGUGUAAGUGCACAAGGGAGCUUGACUGUGAGACAGACAUGUCGAGCAGGGACGAAAGUCGG